UUUGAUUUCUCUUCGUAUCUUGGUUCUCAUUGUUCUUCAAUUUGAUAUGGUCUUUCAUCGCUCUUUUCAGCGUCUGAAGAAAUGCUUCAAUUUCUGCAGUAACCCUUCUCAUCAGUUUUUUCAUUCUUGGUCUUCUCUUCGCAUGCGAUUUUGUUGCUAAAAAUUCCUGGAGUAUUAUUGAAAAUUUUCGAUUAAUUUUUCUAUUUAGAUAUGUCUAUGGACGCCCCAGAUGGAAAAGAGGUUAAGGGAAGCCGAAGGCCGGAUACGCGUUGCUCUCGAUCUCAAAGCCGGUCUUCAUCCUCUCAAGGUUUCUCUUUCAUUAUUCUCUCUCUUUUUUGUUUUUUAAUUUGUACUCCUUUCUAUUAAGUAUUCAUCAAGUGCGUGUGGAAUCGAAAAUUUAUUUUUCUCCUGGACAGCUUUGCGAAUUUUUUUUGCAAGUAUUUGUUGAUUUGUUCUGCACAUAAGUAGGCAUUUGUUUUAUUUUUCAUAAUAUACGGUGUUGCUUUUUGCAAUUCAAUAAACUCUUUACUUUGUGGCUACUUUCUUGAAUUUUGGGAGUUGGCGAGGUCAAGCUUAUGUAAAUAUGACUGUUAAUAAUCCAAAAAAAAUUGUCCUCUAGCAAUUUUGACUAGAGGAGGAGAUUGUAUGACCUCGGCGAAAGAAUUUAAUGAGAAUGCAGAUGGAAUGAAUGCUAAUAAUUAGAAGAAAGAUUAGUUAUCCUUAAGCAUACAAGAAAGUGCAGCAACAUUGGAACUCUUUGAAUAGUGGUAGUUUCUGAAAUGGAAUUGGUGAUUUCUUAUUGAGGACCAUAUAUAUAUGAAUUAUCCAAUGGGUGGAGUUAAUCAAAUGAGGGGAUUUAACUCCAGUGCCUAAAGAGAUGGGACAAAAUAUACCAUUCCUAAGUCCAAACAGAACUUGGAAAACUGCUGUUACUACAGAGGAUGACUCAUAAGUCAUUAUAGGUUAGGUGGCAAUCAAUUCAAGAAUUAAUCUCUCUUAUUAGUUCUUUUUCUCUUACUCCUUUGGAUUUAAAAAUAGAGUUUCUCAGUCAUGUGUGGUUGGCCUUUUGCCAAACCUAUCAAGAUAAUACUUCCCUGCAUAAGAUGGUCCAAAAGUUAGUGAAGUCCUUGAGGAGAACUGAUACAGAGCCCGUUUGGAUUGACUUAAAAAAGUGGCUUUUAAGCAUGAUGCUUAAAAACACUUUUUAAGUACUGGAGCUUAUUUUAUAAAUAAACAGUUACGUGUUUGGAUAAAAGUGCUUAAGCUGAAAAAAAAUUAUUGAAGUGUUUGGUAAAUAAGUGCUGGUAAGCACAUUUUUUCUGUUAAAAUGACUAAAAUAUCCUUAAAGUUGUAGUAUGUUAUUUUUGGAGACUUUCCUUCAAAAAAAUUGGAAAAAAUUAUUUGUGUUUAGAUGAGUUUUCAUUUGAAGUUACUAUAUUUAGUGCUAUAUAUUUGUUUCAACUUUUUCAAAUAUUUUGUAUUUUAGUAUUUGUACAAAACAAACAAUUAUGACAUUGUUUGUUUGACAAUAUAAAAGAAACGAAUUUCAAGAAAAUAAUUAUUAGUAAAUAUACCAUCAAACCAGGAGGAGUAAAAUAAAAAUGCUGAUUAUUUACGUGAGAAGAAAUCAUGAAAAUAAAAUCAGAGCACAAAAAUUAAAAAAUAGGGAAAGGCAACAAAAGAUAUGCCAUAGAAAUGACACUAGAAAUGGUUGACAAAAAUGGGAACAAUGAAGGGAGAAGAAGGAAAAGAAUGUUUGGGCUUUUAGCUUCGAAGGGUUUUGGGAAAAUAAAAGAUUAUUAGGGAUAAAGGAGUAAAUUAAAUGGUUAAACCCAACCAGUUUUUAAGCUAUAAAAAAUAAGUUGAGAUUCACUAACUUGUUGUUUUUAGCUUGUUUAGGCUUAAAAUCACUUGGCUUAAAAACUAUUUUUAAAGUUACCAAACACUCCAACCAGCUAAAAAGUGUUUUUAAACUUAUUUGACCAGCUUUUAACCCAAUCCAAAAGCCUUGAUAGUUUUUCACUGUAAAUUGCUAGACAGUUCUUGCUAGCUUGUACUUUCGUAGUAGCUUGUAGCCUUGUACGAUGCUUAGCAGGAGUUUGCCAGGUGCCAUCUUAUGCAGCUACUUUUCUAGAUGGUUAUCUAGCAUAUACGAAAAUUGUCAGGCACCAUAAAACAUAUUGGGUAAAAGCUUAAUGUUCAUAAAAACCCGAAAAAUCGAACCAAAUCGAAAAUCAAACCGAUCAAAAAAAUCGAUACUUUUUGGUUUGGUUUGAUUUUGGUUUUGAAUUUUAAAAACCGAUCAAAUUAGGUUUGGUUUUGAUUUUAAUCCGAAAAAAAACCGAACCAAACCGACUAUAGGAUUAGCUAUUUCAAAUUUAUUAUUACAUUUAUAUAAAUGUAUAUUUUUAUACAAAGUUUCAAAAAAUUUAUGGUAAAUGUUAAUAGUUUGCACUUUUAGUAUAGUUCUUUACCUUUACAUUCUAGUUUGAUCGGUAGUUUUCUUUUGUUAAGUGUAAGAAUCCAUUUCGUAUUAAAAAUAAUAUAUUUUUAAUUGAGUCCUUAGAAUAUUCAUCACUAUUUGAUUAAAUUAUCAUCAAUAUAUCUUGGUAAAUAAUAGAUUUCUCAAAGGGCAAUUGAUUUGAUAGUGUUACAUUGAAAAUGUGGUCGCCGGAAUAUGUGUUUGGUAGUGUAUGUCUUAUAUUAUAUUUAAGAAAAAACCAACAAAUAACCGAAAAUUCGACAAAACCCGACAUAAACCGAAUCGAGGAAAAACCGACUUAAUUGAUUUGGUUUGGUUCUAAUAUUUGAAAAAUCGAUUUACUUGAUUUGGUUUCUUUUUAGGAAAAAUCCGAUCCAAAACGAACCAUGAACACCCCUAGUUCUUGAUAAUUUUGUAAGGAAAACUGCUGUUACUACUGAGCUUUCUUCAAAGUAGUGCCACACGCUAUUGAGAAGUCAUUUGUUUGUUACCCAAAAAGAAAGCUAUAAACGGAAAAUGUGCAUACCUCAUUUUUCUCUUUUAUUCAUUUUUUCAUCAAACAAAGAUUGGGAUAAACACGCAAUAAGCCUUCAAGGGGGUUGCAAUCCCCUGUUCAGGAUAAUAAUUGCUUGUUCUUUAAAGUCAGAUAACAGAAUUUUUGCUAAAAACAUAAAAUCGAUAAUAUUAAAAUGUUUAAGAUUUUAAUUGGAGAUGAAUUUUGCAACCACUAACACUUGCAAAACUGUCGUUAAAUUUUGGAGUUGCUGAAGUCUUUACAACUAAUUGCGCAUGAUAUGGUAAAAAUUUAUGUCCUUGAAACUUCAAUUGACGGGGAGAACAUUGUCCUGUAGAAAUUUGAAUGGUUAAAGUUUGGAAUAUCUAUUAGUGUAUUGAUGUGGGUGCAAGAAUAUAGCUACGCUUCUCAUAUUUGAUCAAACAAAAUAUAGAGAUUCCACACUCAUGCAGCGCUUAUUAUAGCUACGCAGAACAAUUGAUUUUGGAUCAGUAGACCAAUUCGAAGGUGCAUUUGUCAACAAUGAUCAAAAUGGAGAAGGGGUAUGUCCUGACUUAUAUUUCAUACACAGAUCUGACUGAUGUUCAUACGCACAAGGAAGAAGAUUCUCAUUAAAAAUGUUCGAGUUCAUUUUUCUUUUAUUGGGAUUAAAAAACUGAAGACCGACAAAUCUUAUGCCAUAGAAGCGGACAAGAACAACAAUAACAACAACCCAGUAAAAUUCUACUAGUGGGGUCUGGGGAGGGUAGUGCGUGUUGUGAUUCUCNNN
rnacentral:lncRNA from 1 species